UUACCAGACUCCUACGGGAGGCAGCAGUGGGGGAUAUUGCACAAUGGGGGAAACCCUGAUGCAGCGACGCCGCGUGGGUGAAGAAGCGCCUCGGCGCGUAAAGCCCUGUCAGCAGGGAAGAAAAUGACGGUACCUGAAGAAGAAGCCCCGGCUAACUACGUGCCAGCAGCCGCGGUAAUACGUAGGGGGCAAGCGUUAUCCGGAUUUACUGGGUGUAAAGGGAGCGUAGACGGCGAAGAAAGUCUGAAGUGAAAGCCCGCGGCUUAACCGCGGAACUGCUUUGGAAACUUUUUUGCUGGAGUACCGGAGAGGUAAGCGGAAUUCCUAGUGUAGCGGUGAAAUGCGUAGAUAUUAGGAGGAACACCAGUGGCGAAGGCGGUCUGCUGGACAGCAACUGACGCUGAGGCGCGAAAGCGUGGGGAGCAAACAGGAUUAGAUACCCUUGUACC
rnacentral:rRNA from 1 species